CCUACGGGAGGCAGCAGUGGGGAAUAUUGCACCAUGGGGGAAACCCUGAUGCAGCGACGCCGCGUGAGUGAAGAAGUAUUUCGGUAUGUAAAGCUCUAUCAGCAGGGAAGAAAAUGACGGUACCUGAUUAAGAAGCCCCGGCUAACUACGUGCCAGCAGGCGCGGUAAUACGUAGGGGGCAAGCGUUAUCCGGAUUUACUGGGUGUAAAGGGAGCGUAGACGGCAGCACAAGUCUGGAGUGAAAUGCCGGGGCUUAACCCCGGAACUGCUUUGGAAACUGUGCAGCUAGAGUGCAGGAGAGGUAAGUGGAAUGCGUGGUGUAGCGGUGAAAUGCGUAGAUAUUAGGAGGAACACCAGUGGCGAAGGCAGCUUACUGGACUGUAACUGACGUUGAGGCUCGAAAGCGUGGGGAGCGAACAGGAUUAGAUACCCCAGUAGUC
rnacentral:rRNA from 1 species